CAUAGGCAACACCCGACUUUCUCUCUUCCCACACCGUCGAUUUCGUAUUAACGAACUACAUUCGUUCUACAUCUGCACAAUGCGCUCUAUGAAGAAUACUCUGGUGAGGCGUGACUAGUUCGAGACGGCGAGAGAAGCGACAACGAGGGGUGAGGUCCCCUACUGAAAGUUGAGGUUUUUUUUAUUAGAUUUUUUUUUUCGUAGGAUUGGCGAAGGGGAAAACAGAACCCAGACUAAGGUUCCGGGGCGAACGAAUGCACGCACACCGGUCGAAAUGGUGAAGAGGAUCAAGGUAUCGGUUAGAAAACAGAGGUUGGCGGAAGAAACUAUUUUUUGGAGCUAGCUAUGUAGAGAAGCAUACCUUACUUGACUGAUCACCCGACGAUAAUUUUUGGGGCAGAUGUUACUCAUCUAUCUCUAGGGGCGGACACAAGUUCUCCAAUUGCUGCAGUACAUUGCUGAUCUUUUUAUGUUUUAUAUAUCAGUGCACAACAUCUGAGUUUGGCUUUUCCAUUUUAUGAAGCUAACAUUUAGUCUAUAUAUUGUUUUUAGGUUGUUGCAUGAAUGGAUUAGCCUCAUGUCUUGUCCAGUGGCUUCAUGAAACACAUUUCUUUUAUCCUUUUUGUUGUAAUGACUAUACUUGUUUGUAAUUAUCAAAGAUGGAGUAAGCGAAGGACAAUUUGCUCAAGAAGAAAUGGAUGCAAUUCGAAUUUAGAUGUGAUUUUA